GAUGAACGCUGGCGGCGUGCUUAACACAUGCAAGUCGAACGGUGAAGCAGGAGCUUGCUCUUGUGGAUCAGUGGCGAACGGGUGAGUAACACGUGAGCAACCUGCCCCUGACUCUGGGAUAAGCGCUGGAAACGGCGUCUAAUACUGGAUAUGUGAUGUGACCGCAUGGUCUGCAUCUGGUAAGAAUUUCGGUUGGGGAUGGGCUCGCGGGCUAUCAGCUUGUUGGUGAGGUACUGGCUCACCAAGGCGUCGACGGGUAGCCGGCCUGAGAGGGUGACCGGCCACACUGGGACUGAGACACGGCCCAGACUCCUACGGGAGGCAGCAGUGGGGAAUAUUGCACAAUGGGCGGAAGCCUGAUGCAGCAACGCCGCGUGAGGGAUGACGGCCUUCGGGUUGUAAACCUCUUUUAGCAGGGAAGAAGCGAAAGUGACGGUACCUGCAGAAAAAGCACCGGCUAACUACGUGCCAGCCGCCGCAGUAA
rnacentral:rRNA from 1 species